AACGAACGCUGGCGGCAGGCUUAACACAUGCAAGUCGAACGCCCUCGCAAGGGGGAGUGGCAGACGGGUGAGUAACACGUGGGAACAUACCCUUCGGUUCGGAACAACGCCGGGAAACUGGCGCUAAUACCGGAUACGCCCUGGCCGUGAGGUCGGGGGAAAGGCUCGCUGCCGGAGGAUUGGCCCGCGUUCGAUUAGCUUGAUGGUGCGGGAACGGCCCACCAUGGCGACGAUCGAUAGCUGGUCUGAGAGGAUGGCCAGCCACAUUGGGACUGAGACACGGCCCAAACUCCUACGGGAGGCAGCAGUGGGGAAUAUUGGACAAUGGGCGCAAGCCUGAUCCAGCCAUGCCGCGUGAGUGAUGACGGCCUUAGGGUUGUAAAGCUCUUUCGCACGCGACGAUAAUGACGGUAGCGUGAGAAGAAGCCCCGGCUAACUUCGUGCCAGCCGCCGCCGUAAAAC
rnacentral:rRNA from 1 species